rnacentral:tRNA from 1 species
GCCACGGUGGUCUAGCGGUUAGAACGCUGGCCUUGUAAUCCUGGGGGGGGUCUCGGGUUCGAUUCCCGGCAGUGCCC